UCUCCGUCUUCUCUUUCUUUCUCUUUCUGCACCACCACCACCGCGUAUGCCAUCACCACUUCCCCCUCCGCCUCCGUUGAAAGUUCGAUUCAACUGGCUAUUAUUUGUUCUUCAUCUUCAUAGGUGGAAUAUUGAUUUCACAGAUUCAGAGAUCGAUAGAUCUGAUUCUUUAAUUUUCGGUUUCAUAAUUUCAGAGAAAUUUUGGAGAGAUCUUUGCAUGUUUGAUUCGCUGAAGCCAAAUAAUUCAGCGUGUAUAUGAUUUUAAAUCAAGUUUCAAAGAUUUUGGAAAAUUAGUUUGUGUUGAUUCACAACAACUUAAUCAAUUUAUACCCAUUACCACCACCACCAGCAGCACUGUUUCAUCGGAAAAAUCAAGAAAAAAGAAAUUUUUGUCGGAAAAAUCAGUUGAAGGUUCAACUGAAAUCGAGAGAGAAUCAAUCUUCUUCUUUUUCUUCUUUUCUGUAUCAAGAGGGAUUUCCAAGUUGAAGUGGAGACUGAGAGGUGUUAGAUGUACUUAUACCGUUCAUUGAUGAAUAUUGCAACAUGGUUUGAAGUUUUUGGAGUGGCAGAAGAACCUGAAAAGUACCAAAUAAUGUAUAAUAAAAACCCAGAUUGGUGGUGCAAUUGCCAUUGGUGAUGACACUGUAGGUGGAGGUGAUGCUGGUGGAAGUGGAGGAUUUAAGUGUGGAGCAUGAGAUGCAUCUGUGCUGAUGGUGGCAGACGUAUCAUAUGAACUUGCGAUGCUCCAUUAGUACUCAGUGGACAUUUUAGUGCUUGUGGAAAAUGGAGUCAAUGCAUCUGCCAAAAGGGAACUCAUUGAAUGUCUACCAUGUGAAAGCUUAUUUGGGAAUAUCUUGAGGGCUCCUAGCCAAGCUUUGACAAAGAAGAUCCUCUAUAAUGAAGCUGUGUUUUUCUAACCAUGAGUCUGAGAUUGAAUUGGAGGAAUAGAUAAAGCUGCAGGAUUGUAGUCAUGGUGGUUGCAGAGAAGGAUUGAAGCUGUUGCAGAAGCUACAAGCAGAAUUGAAGUGGUUUGUACUGUGGAAAGACACGUAGAGACAAAUUUGGUUUAACAGUUAUGCUUGAAGAUAUAUUGGCGCAAUUGCAGUUGGAAAUGGCAUAAGUGGAAGGAAUUGAUCUGAAGGUUAUGAUUGUGGCCGAGUUAUGAAGUAUGGGGUGAUGGUAUUGGUGCAGUUGCAGUUUUUUAUAUUCGUGUUAUGCAUGAAUCUGUGCUAUAAUGAUAGCACAACUCAUUAUCUAUCAGAAGAUGUGUGUUCGACUCACACUAGGUUCACUCAUUUGUGUAUACAUUUUUUUUCUGGAGACAACUUG